rnacentral:rRNA from 1 species
UACAGAGGGUGCUAGCGUUGUUCGGAAUCAUUGGGCGUAAAGGGCGUGUAGGCGGUUUGUUAAGUCAUGUGUGAAAUCCCUCGGCUCAACCGAGGAAAGACGCACGAAACUGGCAAGCUAGAGUACCGAAGAGGGGGGUGGAAUUCCCGGUGUAGCGGUGAAAUGCGUAGAUAUCAGGAAGAACACCCGUGGCGAAGGCGGCUCUCUGGGACGGUACUGACGCUGAGACGCGAAAGCGUGGGGAGCGAACAAG